AUUUUCUGAUGUAAGAGAGAUGUUUUGAGAAUGAGUGGAAUUUGGAUUUCCGUUGUGACUGAUGAAAGAGAAGUGUGGAGACAACCUCAGAAUAUAGUUCGAAUUAAACAGUUUGGUAGAAUGGCAGAAUAAACAAAAAAACAGCUAAUUGUACUAUUUGGUAGAAGGGAAUCAAGGAGCCAAUCAAUUAGCAAUUGAACAAUUCUAGUGGAGAAGAUGUAGCUACAUCAAUGGUCGGAGUGGAGAAAAGAGUACCUGUUUGACUUCUAGUGGAGAACCGAGGUGUGUCCAUAGGAGGGUAUGUCCCGGCUAUGAUUGACCGAAGACGAUGGAUCGGCGACGAUUGACCGGCAACGAUUGACUGGCGACGUUGGACCGGCGACGCUGGUGCCGAAUCGCCGAUGGUUGAUAUGUCGAUUUA